AAGGCACCGAACCUAGAACAAUGCCACUUCCACUGGUUAUUAUUCAAGAAUGCCUAACUGUCUAUAUUAAGAAGCAGGUGGAUUAUAUUGGCCACCUUAUGUUGUCAAAGUUGAUGAAGGAUUGGAGAUUAACGGAUGAGCUUGGUGUUUUACGUGCCAUAUACCUGUUAGGUUCAGGUGAUCUACUGCAGCACUUUUUGACAGUGAUUUUCAGUAAGCUGGACAGGGGGGAAACAUGGGAUGAUAAUUUUGAGUUAAACUUGAUUCUACAGGAAUCCAUCAGGAAUUCUGCUGAUAGCAUGC
rnacentral:misc_RNA from 1 species